UCAGCUUGUGUGUUAGUGGAACGGUCUGGAAAGUCCGACGGUACAGGGUGAUAGUCCCGUACACCAAAAUGCACAGGUUGUGAACUCGAAGAGUAGGGCGGGACACGUGGUAUCCUGUCUGAAUAUGGGGGGACCAUCCUCCAAGGCUAAAUACUCCUGACUGACCGAUAGUGAACCAGUACCGUGAGGGAAAGGCGAAAAGAACCCCGGCGAGGGGAGUGAAAAAGAACCUGAAACCGUGUACGUACAAGCAGUGGGAGCACCUUCGGGUGUGACUGCGUACCUUUUGUAUAAUGGGUCAGCGACUUAUAUUCUGUAGCAAGGUUAACCGUAUAGGGGAGCCGCAGGGAAACCGAGUCUUAACUGGGCGUUAAGUUGCAGGGUAUAGACCCGAAACCCGGUGAUCUAGCCAUGGGCAGGUUGAAGGUUGGGUAACACUAACUGGAGGACCGAACCGACUAAUGUUGAAAAAUUAGCGGAUGACUUGUGGCUGGGGGUGAAAGGCCAAUCAAACCGGGAGAUAGCUGGUUCUC
rnacentral:rRNA from 1 species